CCGCCUACGGGAGGCAGCAGUGGGGAAUAUUGCGCAAUGGGCGAAAGCCUGACGCAGCGACGCCGCGUGAGGGAUGAAGGUCUUCGGAUCGUAAACCUCUGUCAGCAGGGAAGAACGGUCACUGUGCUAAUCAGCAGUGAAUUGACGGUACCUGACCAAGAAGCCCCGGCUAACUACGUGCCAGCAGCCGCGGCAAUACGUAGGGGGCAAGCGUUAUCCGGAUUUACUGGGCGUAAAGGGAGCGUAGACGGCAGGGCAAGUCUGGAGUGAAAGGCGGGGGCUCAACCCCCGGACGGCUCGGGAAA
rnacentral:rRNA from 1 species